AUAUUGUAUGUAAGAUUUAUUUCACAUAUGUUAUAGAACUGUUCUGCUCGAUAAAGUGCACGAAAAAUAAAAAAUGAUUCUAUUAAUAUAUAAAGAUAACUUUUCUUAUAAAUACGUCUGAUUUAAGAUGUUGACUUUUUAAGAUACGAAAAAGUAUUCAUAGAAGUAUCAUUACACAAAUCAAUAUGUACAUACAUAGAUAUUUAACUUAAAUACGACUAUUAAAUUUAGUCUAACAAUUCGACAUGCUAUAAUAGGCUAACUGUUGUUGAUGAUCAAUUGCAAGUAAUUAAGCCAGGUGAUAGACAGUAUGUAAAUACGAUAAAGUGAAAUGUAUUAAACGUAAUGAAUAAACAAAUACAGUAUCGAAAAAGAUAGCAGGUAGUCCGUUUUUGCCUACACCAAGAGGCACUUGGCACACCGGAAAUUUUAAAACAUUAAAAAGACCCCAAUAACCAAAAUUAAAUGGUCUUAAGUAAGCUGUAUAAUGAUAACCAGUUUGAAAAGGUGAAGAUGGAUAAAUUAGUAUCCCAUUAUGCUCCAAUUUAUCCUAAAAAUAAAAGUAUAAUUGCAGCACAAUACCACAGAAGGCAGGUAGUACAAUGUACUGUCAAGUGCAUUUGCCAAACUUGCUGCAUGCAAAGAUUAGAGUAAAAAAUAUUUACGACUUUAUAUUAUAUAAUUAUAUUAUAUAAGUUAUGAUUAAAUAAUAAUAAAAUUAUAUUAAACAAGAAUUUACCAUCAAA